rnacentral:rRNA from 1 species
GACGAACGCUGGCGGCGUGCUUAACACAUGCAAGUCGAACGGUAAGGCCCUUCGGGGUACACAAGUGGCGAACGGGUGAGUAACACGUGGGUGAUCUGCCCUGCACUUCGGGAUAAGCCUGGGAAACUGGGUCUAAUACCGGAUAGGACCACUGCCUGCAUGGGUGGUGGUGGAAAGCUUUUGCGGUGUGGGAUGGGCCCGCGGCCUAUCAGCUUGUUGGUGGGGUGAUGGCCUACCAAGGCGACGACGGGUAGCCGGCCUGAGAGGGGGACCGGCCACACUGGGACUGAGAUACGGCCCAGACUCCGACGGGAGGCAGCAGGGGGGAAUAUUGCACAAUGGGCGCAAGCCUGAUGCAGCGACGCCGCGUGAGGGAUGACGGCCUUCGGGUUGUAAACCUCUUUCAGCACCGACGAAGCGCAAGUGACGGUAGGUGCAGAAGAAGGACCGGCCAACUACGUGCCAGCAGCCGCCGUAA